UGCACCCCGGAAAUGCAGUUGCACGUGUAAACCGGCGCUAAACGCGCAGGCCAGUGUGGCUGGGAUCAAACACCCCGCUCCUCACCUGACAUCAGCAGGGAUCACUACAGGUGCUGGGAUAAGACCCGCUGAUCCGGGUGUUUGAAGAGCACUAGGUGACAAGCAGCUCUGUUCAAGCUACGUAAAGGAGUGACUGACCUUGACUCAUUUUUUGUCCAAACGAGAAAUAAAGCUGAGUAACACCCAGAGUGACCUGACAGCCCAGCACACGCUGCAGAGAAGCAACUUCGCAACAGUUAAUCCCGGAGCCCCAGGAGACGCGCUUAGCUCGGUGCGCCCGGGUCUCCCCGGGUAAUGAGGAUAAUAAAGGCUGCGAGGUUUCCUUUUCCAGGAGGCUGACUGCGAGCCGGGACCUGCAGCUGACGGCUUUGUAUGGAAAAUGACCCGACACGAUCCCAUUCACUCGCGGAGGAGAGGGAAUUACCAGCUCGGCAUUCCGAAACCGUCCUGCUCCGGAACUGUAGCGGCCGUCCUGGUGCUUUCGAGCAGGGGAUUCAGAGCCACAGCGAAUAAACACUUAGCACCCAGACACGUUGACA